rnacentral:sRNA from 1 species
GCUUCCUGCGACGACUGGAGUUCCAUGCCAGCAAGAUCGAUGAGCUGUAUGAGGCAUACUGUGUCCAGCGGCGUCUCCGGGAUGGUGCCUACAACAUGGUCCGUGCCUACACCACUGGGUCCCCGGGAAGCCGAGAGGCCCGGGACAGCCUGGCAGAGGCCACUCGGGGGCAUCGCGAGUACACGGAGAGCAUGUGUCUGCUGGAGAGCGAGCUGGAGGCACAGCUGGGCGAGUUUCAUCUCCGAAUGAAAGGGCUGGCUGGCUUCGCCAGGCUGUGUGUGGGCGAUCAGUAUGAGGUAUGAGAAUGUGCAGGGAAGGGCUGGGUUGGUAGGGUCCCAACACCUAGGCUGCCUCAUCCUACCUGUUCCCCCAGAUCUGCAUGAAAUAUGGGCGUCAGCGCUGGAAACUACGGGGCCGAAUUGAGGGUAGUGGAAAGCAGGUGUGGGACAGUGAAGAAACCAUCUUUCUCCCUCUACUCACGGAAUUUCUGUCUAUUAAGGUGACAGAACUGAAGGGCCUGGCCAACCAUGUGGUUGUGGGCAGUGUCUCCUGUGAGACCAAGGACCUGUUUGCCGCCCUGCCCCAGGUUGUGGCUGUGGAUAUCAAUGACCUUGGUACCAUCAAGCUCAGCCUGGAAGUCACAUGGAGGUUGGUGGGGCUGAGAGGCUUGGAGGAGGGCCAGGAGGGCUGUGGCACCUGCCAACAGCCUCUUCCCUUCCCAGCCCCUUCGACAAGGAUGACCAGCCCUCAGCUGCUUCUUCUGUCAACAAGGCCUCCACAGUCACCAAGCGCUUCUCCACCUAUAGCCAGAGCCCACCGGACACACCC